rnacentral:rRNA from 1 species
GACGAACGCUGGCGGCGUGCCUAAUACAUGCAAGUAGAACGCUGAAGGAGGAGCUUGCUUCUCUGGAUGAGUUGCGAACGGGUGAGUAACGCGUAGGUAACCUGCCUGGUAGCGGGGGAUAACUAUUGGAAACGAUAGCUAAUACCGCAUAAUAGUAGAUGUUGCAUGACAUUUGCUUAAAAGGUGCAAUUGCAUCACUACCAGAUGGACCUGCGUUGUAUUAACUAGUUGGUGGGGUAACGGCUCACCAAGGCGACGAUACAUAGCCGACCUGAGAGGGUGAUCGGCCACACUGGGACUGAGACACGGCCCAGACUCCUACGGGAGGCAGCAGUAGGGAAUCUUCGGCAAUGGACGGAAGUCUGACCGAGCAACGCCGCGUGAGUGAAGAAGGUUUUCGGAUCGUAAAGCUCUGUUGUAAGAGAAGAACGAGUGUGAGAGUGGAAAGUUCACACUGUGACGGUAUCUUACCAGAAAGGGACGGCUAACUACGUG